rnacentral:rRNA from 1 species
CGCCUGGGGAGUGCGGCCGCAAGGUUAAAACUCAAAUGAAUUGACGGGGGCCCGCACAAGCGGUGGAGCAUGUGGUUUAAUUCGACGCAACGCGAAGAACCUUACCUGGCCUUGACAUCCAGAGAGCUUCCCAGAGAUGGAUUGGUGCCUUCGGGAACUCUGAGACAGGUGCUGCAUGGCCGUCGUCAGCUCGUGUCGUGAGAUGUUGGGUUAAGUCCCGUAACGAGCGCAACCCCUAUCCCUGGUUGCUAGCAGGUAAUGCUGAGAACUCCAGGGAGACUGCCGGUGACAAACCGGAGGAAGGUGGGGAUGACGUCAGGUCAUCAUGGCCCUUACGGCCAGGGCUACACACGUGCUACAAUGGCGCGUACAGAGGGCUGCCAACUCGCGAGAGUGAGCCAAUCCCUUAAAACGCGUCGUAGUCCGGAUCGGAGUCUGCAACUCGACUCCGUGAAGUCGGAAUCGCUAGUAAUCGCGAAUCAGAAUGUCGCGGUGAAUACGUUCCCGGGCCUUGUACACACCGCCCGUCACACCAUGGGAGUGGAUUGCACCAGAAGUAGUUAGUCUAACCUUCGGGAGGACGAUUACCACGGUGUGGUUCAUGACUGGGGUGAAGUCGUAACAAGGUAACCGUA